rnacentral:rRNA from 1 species
UACGAAGGGGGCUAGCGUUGCUCGGAAUUACUGGGCGUAAAGCGCACGUAGGCGGCUUUCUAAGUCGGGGUGAAAUCCUGGGAGUCAACUCCAGAACUGCCUUCGAUACUGGAGAGCUUGAGUCCGGGAGAGGUGAGUGGAACUGCGAGUGUAGAGGUGAAAUUCGUAGAUAUUCGCAAGAACACCAGUGGCGAAGGCGGCUCACUGGCCCGGUACUGACGCUGAGGUGCGAAAGCGUGGGGAGCAAACAGG